AUUGAACGCUGGCGGCAGGCCUAACACAUGCAAGUCGAACGAGUGGCGGACGGGUGAGUAAUGUCUGGGAAACUGCCCGAUGGAGGGGGAUAACUACUGGAAACGGUAGCUAAUACCGCAUACCAUCGGAUGUGCCCAGAUGGGAUUAGCUAGUAGGUGGGGUGACGGCUCACCUAGGCGACGAUCCCUAGCUGGUCUGAGAGGAGGACCAGCCACACUGGAACUGAGAGCCGUUCCAGACUCCUACGUGAGGCAGCUGUGGGGAAUAUGGCACAAUGGGCGCAAGCCUGAUGCAGCCAUGCCGCGUGUAUGAAGUAGGCCUUCGGGUUGUAAAGUACUUUCAGCGAGGAGGCGUUACUCGCAGAAGAAGCACCGGCUAACUCCGUGCCAGCCGCCGCGGUAAUAC
rnacentral:rRNA from 1 species